rnacentral:rRNA from 1 species
GACGAACGCUGGCGGCGUGCCUAAUACAUGCAAGUAGAACGCUGAAGGAGGAGCUUGCUUCUCCGGAUGAGUUGCGAACGCGUGAGUAACGCGUAGGUAACCUGCCUGGUAGCGGGGGAUAACUAUUGGAAACGAUAGCUAAUACCGCAUAACAGUAGAUGUUGCAUGACAUUUGCUUAAAAGGUGCAAUUGCAUCACUACCAGAUGGACCUGCGUUGUAUUAGCUAGUUGGUGAGGUAACGGCUCACCAAGGCGACGAUACAUAGCCGACCUGAGAGGGUGAUCGGCCACACUGGGACUGAGACACGGCCCAGACUCCUACGGGAGGCAGCAGUAGGGAAUCUUCGGCAAUGGACGGAAGUCUGACCGAGCAACGCCGCGGGAGGGAAGAAGGUUUUCGGAUCGUAAAGCUCUGUUGUAAGAGAAGAACGAGUGUGAGAGUGGAAAGUUCACACUGUGACGGUAGCUUACCAGAAAGGGACGGCUAACUACGUG